GACGAACGCUGGCGGCGUGCCUAAUACAUGCGAGUUGAGCGCUGAAGGUUGGUACUUGUACCAACUGGAUGAGCAGCGAACGGGUGAGUAACGCGUGGGGAAUCUGCCUUUGAGCGGGGGACAACAUUUGGAAACGAAUGCUAAUACCGCAUAAAAACUUUAAACACAAGUUUUAAGUUUGAAAGAUGCAAUUGCAUCACUCAAAGAUGAUCCCGCGUUGUAUUAGCUAGUUGGUGAGGUAAAGGCUCACCAAGGCGAUGAUACAUAGCCGACCUGAGAGGGUGAUCGGCCACAUUGGGACUGAGACACGGCCCAAACUCCUACGGGAGGCAGCAGUAGGGAAUCUUCGGCAAUGGACGAAAGUCUGACCGAGCAACGCCGCGUGAGUGAAGAAGGGUUUCGGAUCGUAAAACUCUGUUGGUAGAGAAGAACGUUGGUGAGAGUGGAAAGCUCAUCAAGUGACGGUAACUACACAGAAAGGGACGGCUAACUACGUG
rnacentral:rRNA from 1 species